UACGGAGGGUGCAAGCGUUGUCCGGAAUCACUGGGCGUAAAGGGCGCGUAGGCGGCUCGGUAAGUAGGGGGUGAAAUCCUGCGGCUUAACCGCAGGGCUGCCUUCUAAACUGUCGAGCUUGAGCACGGUAGAGGCAGAUGGAAUUCCCGGUGUAGCGGUGGAAUGCGUAGAGAUCGGGAAGAACAUCAGUGGCGAAGGCGGUCUGCUGGGCCGUUGCUGACGCUGAGGCGCGAAAGCGUGGGGAGCGAACAGG
rnacentral:rRNA from 1 species